CCCUUAGAUGUUCUGGGCCGCACGCGCGCUACACUGACGAAUGCAACGAGCUUAUAACCUUGGCCGAAAGGUCUGGGUAAUCUCCAAAUUUCGUCGUGAUGGGGAUAGAUUAUUGCAAUUAUUAAUCUUCAACGAGGAAUGCCUAGUAAGCGCAAGUCAUCAGCUUGCGUUGAUUACGUCCCUGCCCUUUGUACACACCGCCCGUCGCUCCUACCGAUUGAAUGCUCAGGUGAAUAAUUCGGACUGCAGCAGUGUUUGGAUCCCGAACGCUGCAGCGGAAAGUUUAGUGAACCUUAUCACUUAGAGGAAGGAGAAGUCGUAACA
rnacentral:rRNA from 1 species